rnacentral:rRNA from 1 species
UACAGAGGGUGCAAGCGUUGCUCGGAAUUAUUGGGCGUAAAGGGUAGGUAGGUGGUCUCAUUUGUCAGGGGUGAAAGCCUUGGGCUUAACCCGAGAAGUGCCCCUGAAACGGUGAGACUGGAGUACUGGAGAGGUUCGUGGAAUUCCCGGUGUAGCGGUGAAAUGCGUAGAGAUCGGGAGGAACACCAGAGGCGAAGGCGGCGAACUGGACAGUCACUGACACUCAACUACGAAAGCACGGGGAG